CAGGAUGAGAGGCGGAGGAGGAGGGAUGCGACCGGCCGCUGGAGCAGAAAAGCGGCUGAGAACAGCAGAGGAACAGCGGGCGGAGUGAACACAGCCUCCGGCAGCUCCGACCGGCCUCUGUCCGCGCAGCCCGGAGCCCAGCCCAGCCCCGGAGCCCGAAACCCGGCCCUCAGGAUAUUUAUAGAAAUGAUCUUCACCAUCAUCAGCUGAAGAGCAGCUCCCUCCUGCAGCUCCACACAGAACAACAUGGAGACCGGAGCGGGGGUCGCCCUGUGGACCAUCCUGCUGCUGCUGCUGACCGCCGCGUCUGAUCUGAACGGUGAUUCCACUGCAUCUCCUCCAUCCCUGACCCUUAAUAAUGUCAUCUCCACCGCUUCUCAUCUGACCCCAAAAACGGACAUUGUGGAGGUCCAGUCUGGUCCAGCCCACACUGAGACUUUACACCCUGCAGAGACAACACUCCCUCCUUCAUCAGAGCUGAACACACAGACUGCCAGCAGGAUGGAUACCUCACCUCCCCCAGCCAGUACACACACACCUGGACUAGGUCUUGAGAGAGAGGCCACACAGGCUUCUGCAGAUACGAGUCCACCUCUCAUCUCAGUGAGGAGCACGGCUGUUACUCCAGGAUCCAUGAUAACUCUUUCUGCUGCAGCAUCCACAACUUCUACUGCCAGUGCCUCUGAGACGAUUCCAACAACUUCUUCAGGUGCUUCUUCCAGACCUGCUUCUACUCUGACUGCCCUGAUAGACAGAAUCCAGCCUUCAGGACCUGUUCCUCUGGAGAACCCACAUCAGGAUGGACCUUCUGAACUGGAUGUCGGAGAUGAAGAUUCAUCCAAAGUGCCUCACGCCUCUCCGUGGGAUCCCCUCCUCGCUGCUCUGGUCUCCAUCUUCAUCGUCAGCACUGCCCUGGUCUCCAUCAUGCUCUUCCUCAGGUUUCGGCAGCAAAGUGAGCACCCAGAGUUCCAUCGACUGCAGGACCUCCCCAUGGUGAGCCUCCCUUACAGUUUAACCUGUAUUAGCUCUUUAACUUUAUAGAUAUAACCAUAGAUUUACUGUAUGUAUUACAGUCCAGGAGAGACUCCAGCAGAUCACAGGUUCCACCAUGUCUGAAACUUUCAGAACUUUUCCAUUUCCGCUUAGCUGAUGGAAAAGAAUUAGCAAGUAGUGUUCUCCUCCAAGCGUGUUGAGCUUCAGUGGUGUUGCAUUAAGUUAUGUAGUAGUUAUGUUUGAAUCUGACCGCUCCGCCCCAUACACUGUCAUUAUGAGUGUAUCAGAGCCUGAUUUAAACCCUACAUUUUUUUUAGUAAGUAAAGCUUUAAAACUGCUGUUUGAGUGAAAUCUGUUCAGAAUGAUGUUAAUUAACACUGCAACACUGAAGAAGCAUAGACCUAUUAUUUUAAAAGAAUGUUUUUUAAGAACAGCUAAAUGCAAAAGCGGACAAGUGGAUGAGCUCAUGUGUGCGUCUGUUUGCUUGGAUAAUUCUAACCAGAUGCUGCAGGUCAUGAUCAUUACCACUCACUGUGCUGUCCACUUUGGGGGGUAAUGUCUUCUAUGAUGUAUAACACAUCUAUAAUGUGGACACUGUUGAUUGAGGAAUGUUAAAUGCCCUGACAACUUUGAAAAUACAAUGUCCCGUCCCUCCGGUACCCACUAUCAGAUCUCGCUCAAACCACUCACAACCAUCACAAGAUAACACCUC
ensembl:lncRNA